CUGUCUUCAUGGAGUGGUUCUCUUCAGCCCCUCUGUGGCUUAAGCUUUACCUGCUCCUGUCCAGCAAUGCCUGGGAAUGGAUAGCUCCUUCUUCACAGCUGAGCUUAGUGAAGCUUCAAACCUUAGUCCACAGGGAGGAUCCUGGGUGUUCUGGAUGCUCUGGAUGGAAUAGCCUCUUUCUCACUCCUGGUGGCAUUGAUAUCUCAUGUGACCAUUCCUCAGAAUAAGCGGUACUGUUUAUUAGGGUCUAUUAUGUUCUAAAACUUUAAAUAAAUUAUUUCAUUUUAUCUUCA